UACGUAGGGUCCGAGCGUUGUCCGGAAUUACUGGGCGUAAAGAGCUCGUAGGUGGUUUGUCGCGUUGUUCGUGAAAACUCACAGCUUAACUGUGGGCGUGCGGGCGAUACGGGCAGACUGGAGUACUGCAGGGGAGACUGGAAUUCCUGGUGUAGCGGUGAAAUGCGCAGAUAUCAGGAAGAACACCAAUGGCGAAAGCAGCUCUCUGGGACGGUACUGACGCUGAGACGCGAAAGCGUGGGGAGCGAACAGG
rnacentral:rRNA from 1 species